rnacentral:lncRNA from 1 species
AGAUAUGCAUUCUAAAGAAAGCAAGAGGAUUCAACCAGAAGUUCUGGGAGUCAAGAGUACUUUCAAAGGCACAGCCAGAGAAGAUGCCUCUCUUUGUCAAAGUGAUGAAGUGACCAGUGGAUGUUUUUCAAGCAGGUCUCAACCAACUACGAAGCUUUGGAGCAGCCAUUAAUUUCACAAGAAUAGUGUCCUUUCAGAGUUGAAUCUGCUGGUUAUACACCUCACGUGGAUAAGGGAAUGACACACACACACUAAAUAUGUACUCCUUAUUUAUCUCAUUUUUUAGCUGGCUGAUGUGUUGCUUUUAUCCACUUCUGUGUCCUGCCACACAGGGCUUUUAUAUUAGUCAGGGAGUUAUGUUCAGCUCUGUUGGUCUCAUAUUUGGAUAAUAAAUCAUACCACCUGAAGGAACUCA